UAAGUAGGGUGCGAGCGUUGUCCGGAAUUAUUGGGCGUAAAGGGCUCGUAGGCGGUCUGUUGCGUCAGGAGUGAAAACUCGGGGCUUAACCCCGAGCCUGCUUCUGAUACGGGCAGACUAGAGGUAUGCAGGGGAGAACGGAAUUCCUGGUGUAGCGGUGAAAUGCGCAGAUAUCAGGAGGAACACCAGUGGCGAAGGCGGCUCUCUGGGCCUUUCCUGACGCUGAGACGCGAAAGCGUGGGGAGCGAACCGG
rnacentral:rRNA from 1 species